rnacentral:misc_RNA from 1 species
GAUGAAGAACGUAGCGAAAUGCGAUAAGUAAUGUGAAUUGCAGAAUUCAGUGAAUCAUCGAAUCUUUGAACGCACAUUGCGCCCCCUGGUAUUCCGGGGGGCAUGCCUGUCCGAGCGUCAUUGCUGCCCUCAAGCACGGCUUGUGUGUUGGGCCUCCGUCCUCCUCCCGGGGGACGGGCCCGAAAGGCAGCGGCGGCACCGCGUCCGGUCCUCGAGCGUAUGGGGCUUCGUCACCCGCUCUUGUAGGCCCGGCCGGCGCUUGCCGACACAUCAAUCUUUUUUCCAGGUUGACCUCGGAUCAGGUAGGGAUACCCGCUGAUCUUAAGCAUAUCAAUAAGCGGAGGA